rnacentral:rRNA from 1 species
GAUGAACGCUGGCGGCGUGCCUAAUACAUGCAAGUCGAGCGAAGCGGGGACGGGUGAGUAACACGUGGAUAAACUCCUAUAAGACUGGGAUAACUUCGGACAACCUGAACUAAACCGGACACUUAUAGAUGGAUCAUCGCUGCAUUAGCUAUUGGGUAAGGUAACGCAUUACCAAGGCAACGAUGCAUAGCCGAUCGGAGAGGGUGAACGGCCAAACUGGAACUGAGACACGGCCCAGACUCCUACGUGAGGCAGCAGUAGGGAAUCUUCCGCAAUGGGCGAAAGCCUGACGGAGCAACGCCGCGUGAGUGAUGAAGGCCUUCGGAUCGUAAAACUCUGUUAUUAGGGAAGCGGUACCUAAUCAGAAAGCCCCGGCUAACUACGUGCCAGCAGCCGCGGUAAUAC